AGUGAACGCUGGCGGUAGGCCUAACACAUGCAAGUCGAACGGCAGCACAGUAAGAGCUUGCUCUUACGGGUGGCGAGUGGCGGACGGGUGAGGAAUACAUCGGAAUCUACUUUUUCGUGGGGGGUAACGUAGGGAAACUUACGCUAAUACCGCAUACGACCUACGGGUGAAAGCAGGGGAUCUUCGGACCUUGCGCGAUUGAAUGAGCCGAUGUCGGAUUAGCUAGUUGGCGGGGUAAAGGCCCACCAAGGCGACGAUCCGUAGCUGGUCUGAGAGGAUGAUCAGCCACACUGGAACUGAGACACGGUCCAGACUCCUACGGGAGGCAGCAGUGGGGAAUAUUGGACAAUGGGCGCAAGCCUGAUCCAGCCAUACUGCGUGGGUGAAGAAGGCCUUCGGGUUGUAAAGCCCUUUUGUUGGGAAAGAAAAGCAGCAGGUUAAUACCCCGCUGUUCUGACGGUACCCAAAGAAUAAGCACCGGCUAACUUCGUG
rnacentral:rRNA from 1 species